rnacentral:rRNA from 1 species
UACGAAGGGGGCUAGCGUUGUUCGGAAUCACUGGGCGUAAAGCGCACGUAGGCGGACUUUUAAGUCAGAGGUGAAAUCCCAAGGCUCAACCUUGGAACUGCCUUUGAUACUGGGAGUCUUGAGUUCGGGAGAGGUGAGUGGAACUGCGAGUGUAGAGGUGAAAUGCGUAGAUAUUGGGAGGAACACCAGUGGCGAAGGCGGCUCACUGGACCGGUACUGACGCUGAUGCGCGAAAGCGUGGGGAGCAAACGGG